CAUUUUCUGCAAACUGCUUGAUUUCUCCCCAGGAAAUGGGUUUUUCUCUUCUAUUGCAUUGUCAGGCUGCACAUUUUUCAAACUUUUAUGCUCUGCUUCCUCUU